CUAUUGUUGUCUCUUUUACAAUGGAUCAUUAAGUGAUUCGUUUAAAGAAAAAGACUGUAAUUGGAAGAAAAAUCAUCUAACGACAUAGGUUUUAAGAGGAUUCAAUUUAAGAUUGUAUUAGCGAGAAAAAGCAGGUCCUAACCUUCAAUUUUUUUUUCUGAUGAGACAUGGAUAUUUGAAAAUGGUAAAAAUUUUAAUAUAACAGUUGUAAAGUUCAUGUUGACGGCAUGUAAAAUUUCUGUGGGAACUUUAAUUAUAAAUGUUACUUUACUUAGCGACUAGUCCACUAGAUUUUAAUUGUGCUUAUAGUACGUAGUAUUUAAAUUGUCUGAUAUAUUACAUAAUAUUUUUCAGUGUAUUAGUUUCCAUUGAUAUGAUCGUCAGAAUUGCCAAACGUCAAAAUUCAAGCCGUGCGGUAAAAUCCCGGAAAUGUCCGAAGUGGCUCGGAUCCGUGGCAAACGAAACUGACUUACCCGUACUCUAGGUAAUUAGAUAUUUUACAGACGGGAGUAGAAAAAAUAUUUUAUAAUGCAAAAUUUAAACCAAUACGUGUGUUUGACAAUUUUCGAAAAUUUUGCCUAAUUUUUUCUUAAUACCUUAGAGUUCCAAUAUUAGACUUUUCUGUCGGGUGACGGUGUACGGUCAAUUUUAUAAGUUAGUGGAAAAUGUGUCGAGAUAAGAAGUAGCUAUCUAGAGUGAUAUUAAAAUAUUCCAAUUUUUUUAAUUGAAAUUUGUAUUUAGUCUUUAUGCUAGUAUAUAAACAUUUGUAUUUUAUGAGCAUCUAUCUGAUCUAUCUUGAAUUUAUUUGCUCAACCAGCGGAACUUUUUAUAAAAAAUUUUUUCGAUCUUUAUUUUGCAUUGUGCUUCCUCGGUGUUGGUUUUCACAACGUGUCGUUUCUGUACGAACCCAGUAAACAUGGGCAAACAUUUUUGCACUAUCGGUUCCAAUUAGAACCGAAACACCCGCACACAGCUAAUUAGCUUAUCGUUGCUUCAAUAAUUGACAAGAGCUAAUACUAAUUACCGCAAAUUAUAAGACUUAUAAAAGCGACAGCGAACCCCCAAGGAGAUAGAACUACAACACAACGACCAUGAAGGUAGACAAGCUGUUUCUUCUUUUCGUCGUUUUCUUCGUGGCGCUCUUCUCUGGGGCCUUCUCCGCACGUCGAUCUGAUUUGCUGGACAGCGAUGCUGCCCUAGUCCGAGAAUUGGAAGCUGAUGAGAGGCCAGGCCGAUAAAAUCCUUAUACUUAUUAAAAUGUGACUCUAA